AGAGGAGAGGAGAGGAGAGGAGAGGAAAAAUAUUAUUUGACGAGGAGGGGAAAUUGAAACAGUGGAGUUGAGGGGGCUAAAUUUUAUGGAGUGCAGUGGACAAAAACUGCAUGUAGCGGUGGGAAAAGAAAUGGAGUGGCGUGGUGGGAAAUGAAAUAAACUGAAUAGAGUUUAAUGAAAUGAAGCAGAGUGGAGGAAAAUAAAUUGUGAGUUAAAGAGGGGAAUUAAAA
rnacentral:lncRNA from 1 species